rnacentral:lncRNA from 1 species
CACUUUUGUAAUUAUGAUUCAUUUCAUACAAAACUCCUUUAUUAUACAUUUGAACUUCCGUACUUGUUUUCCAUAUUUAUUAAUCCAGUGAUCAUAGAUAAUUAAAGGAUAUGGACUUGAAUCAUGAAUUACAACCGAGAUGAAUUACAAUCGAGUUAAGAAGAAAUUUAAAUUGCAAUGGCGCAAAAAAAAGCGCUUUCAUGUUGUGCUAGGCGCUUGAAACACCAUGCUACAUUAGUGAACAUCCCACUUUCCCUCUUUUUUCUUUACAUUUCCACUCCCCUUCCUACCUCCCUUCAAAAACACAAGCCAAGAUAAUAUGAUACACAAUGCAGUAAAAUUUAACACUCAACAAUGAUCAUGGACACUGCAUAUAUGCAUAUAAAUCAAUGAUGAAUCUCAAUAGCAUCUCACUGCUCCUUUUUCUUGUUGUCCAACAUUCAAAUCCUCAAAACUCCAAUCUCUUCUCAUUCCACUGCUCCUUACCAAUCUGGGUCCAACAUUCCCUGCACUAUUGGUCCGGCGAUGAUGUUCUUUCUUUAUUUUGGACACAGCCCCGCCACCGGUCGCGGCCGCGCAUUGAGGCGGUGAUAUAUUCCCUGACCAGGUUCUACCAACUUUAAUAUUGGGCACUUUCCUACUAACCUUGAUUUCCGUGAAGUACUCUCUUUCAGAAUUUUCCCUUUGAAGAACCUGGCCACCGCAGGUAAGGCAAUUCAGACUCAUGAUGAUGAUGGUGUUUUGCGUGAAUAUUCUGGAUAAUUAGUAAUUUCAUGCAUAUAUUAAUUAACCAAUCAAGCACUUUCCCUUAAAAGGGCCAUGUAGCUUGUGGUGGGAAGGUUGGUGGGUAGGGAAUAUAAGCUUAUAAAUCACAACAAUGAAGGGGAUGAAGAGGUUAGUUUGAGAUGGCAUGGUGGAUUAGAAGAAAAGGAUUUGAAACUGAUUUGGUUUGCA